rnacentral:lncRNA from 1 species
GAGUCCACAGCAGCAGCUGGAACAAGACCCCACCCCCUGACCUUCUUCUUCUUACCUAAGACAUCAAAUCCAAGAGGAGACCGAACCCUAGAGAAAAACACUCCAGCAGCCGCACCCUCCAAGCAACGAAGCCAACGACCAACCCUCUAUCAACUGCCAAUCAGCCAGUCAUCGCUGCUGAACCAAACCAUCUGAAAACUGCCUUGUUCUUCAACAUACAACCAUGUCGGUCACCACCCCAAUCUCUCACGCUCGUUCCCUUAUCUCUCCCUCCUCAUUCCUCUCAUUCCCUUUCUUUGUUACUGCCACCGCCAGAGAAACCAUCCGAGCUCGCCGAAAACCAACAGCAACCUAAGAGAGUGGAGACAGGCGUCGACGAGGAAUUUCGAUCAAGCUCUGGUCUCGAUUCAUGUUCAGGCACUGUUACUGUAUUCGAAAAGGCAAUCACUGUGAGGUUCAUCCCUUACUUUGACUUAAAAACAAUUCCAUCUGUUUUCUUAUCAAUGUUUGGUAAUCAUGAUUGUCGUAUGACUAUUCUGCUAGUUUUGUGGUUUGCUUGAAACUAUUUCUUAAUUUGAUUUGUUUUGUUUAAUUUGAAUUUGAUGCAUUAUCAAGAAAAAAAUUAGCUAGUUAACUUGUUAGAUCUGUUUGGUUAAUAAUUUUGGGUUAAAGUUGAGCCACAACAGUGAUUGACAUUAAUGGUAGUUGGGCUUGAAUUGAUUUAAGUAAUUAAUAGGUUGAAUGAAAAUCAAUUAAAGUUUAGAUUCUCUCGUUGUAGUGUUGGUUCAUGAACCAUGAUUUGGGUGUGGCUUCAAUUUUACUCUAUUAGGCUUAGAAAACUUCUUACCUUCAUUUUAAUUUUAUAAAUAUUAACGCUAGUAGUAUGCUUGGCCGUCAUUACAUGGGUACGCAAGCCAUAGAUUGGAUGACGAGAAAAAGCGUAGAAUAGAACUUUAAUAUUUUCUUUUAUUUAUUUUAUUUUUGUAGAUGGGGACGACCUCUGACCUCUUAUGUAUUUAUGUUGUUUUUAUGUUUUUACCGCAAUUGAAUAUUUUAAAAGAUGACCAGUUAAGGGACUUGGGGAGUGCCUAAUACCUUCUUCCCGAGUCAAAUGAACCCCUUACCCGAAUCUCUGGUGCAAACUUAGUUUUGGAGUCUCAAGUAUUUUUAAAGAAAAAACUUAGUUUUUAGAAAAACGGUGACCUGACACAGCAAAACCCAUGUCACGUGGCGACUCUGAGUUAUUUCCUUUAAACACUAUCUCUUGUCACUUUCAAAAAUAAAAACCCCUUUCGAGCUUUACAAAUUUCUUUUUAUUAAUUUAAGAGGGUUAAGUGAGUUCUUUUUUAAAAAGGGGUGUGACAUCUCUGACGACUCUGCUGAAAAUUUGUAGGUUCGAGCUAUUACUUGAUCUUGUUGGAUUUUAGGAUAUUAGGUUGAGGUUUUUAUGUGUUUUUUUUGCUUUACUUGGUUUUUAUUUUUGUUUAUAUCUUUUUAUUAUUUCCUAUACGCUUAUUUGUUUACAGUUUUUCUUUAUGUGUUACUGCUUCAUAAAUUGUCAUCAUUUGCAUAACCACGGGUCUUUUUUUUGUAACAAGUCUUUUGGAGUAAAUUUGAGCGUACACAGCCUUUUUGUGAGUCACCCAUGUCUUUAAGGGGGUAGCGUGAGAGCGUGGAGUGGGAGGACAGCUAGAGCAGCUGCCAUCGACCACGUGUCGCCCCCAAUUCCCUUGUUAGUACACCCAAACUUAGGUCAGCCUUUAGGUCAUUUUUAUUUGUAUCAUGUCAUUUACACCUUGUAGGGUUCGGUCCCAGGCAGUGUGUCCCUUUGUAGGAAGUCUAUACAAGUUUUGUCAAAAAUGGGCUCGUUGCCCAAAAGACAUUCAAUCAUCCCUAUACGAUACAUAUUGCAUCUUUGAGGGUAAAAGGGUCGCUUGACGGACUGAUGCUUGGGAAAGUGGUGAAAAUGAAGCAAGUAGGGUCCAAUUAUAUUUUUCUUUACAACUUUUUAAAGAAAAGUCAAAAAAUUGAAAAUGAAAAAAUCCAAAAAGAUUUUAUACUUUUCCAUUAUUUUUCAAAACUUCAAAAAAAGGAGAAAAAGAAAAUCUAAAAAGAUUUUACAUUUUCAAUAAGGAGAAAAAGAAAAUCCAAAAGAUUUUUCAUUUUCUAUCAUUUCUCAAAAAGACAAAAAAAAUAUGAUUUUCCAAAUUAGUUGCUUUUUUAAAAGGCUUUCUCCCAUAUCCAAUCUUUUCGAAUUACACGAAUCUGAUUCUCGUCUUUCGAGACGUGACACGGAGGAAACCCACAUAGGGUCCGAUUUUCCAAGUGAGCUUUAGGUCCUUGGAUCUGCGGGGUCUUAGCCAAAUCUUGCAUGUCUAGCCGCUUUUGGGCAUAUCGGCCAUUGUUGCAAAAUGGGGCCUUUUUGCAAAAAUGGUUCAAUUACCCAUAUUUUAGGAUUUUGUGUCUACAACUAUGUGUCAUAUUACUUUAGGGUUCUUCCUUUUGAGUUUGCAUCUUUAGCCACUUUCAGCCACCUAUGCUAUUUUUUCAAAAUGGGUUAUUUUCGCAAAUUAAUUUAGGGCCAUGAUUAUUGUGUAUUUAAAUCCAUAUAAGCCUUAGUAAGGUCAUAUCUUUGAGUUCACCUUUGUUGAGUUUUCACUUCUAGCCACUCUUGGCUACGUAGGUUAAUUUUUAAUAAAUAACUUAAUCGUGUCUUGCAUGUGUCCAACAAGAGGUGUUGUGGUGUCGCAUAGUGUCUCGGGUCAUUUAUCUAUUUGGUAUUAUUUUUCUCAUUCAGGUAUGAAUUUAUUUACUGGAGCUCGAGCGUAACAGGUACCCUGGGACCAUCACAUUUGGGAGCUGUUUCAAGAGACUUUUUAUUUUUGAGUCUUUUUUUUUUUAAUUUUUUGCUAUCUAUUGUUGGAUGGUAGUUUCAGUCUUUUAGUUGGUGUAACCGUUUGUCGUAGUAUGGUUGAGUUUGUCAAGUCUUGCGCCAUCAUACUUCUUGUUUUGUAUUUGAAAAACCAAAAAAAGUUAUAAAUGAAAAAUUCAAAAAGAUUUUUGUUUUAUUUGUCCACUACCUUUUCCAGAACUAUGCGUGAUCUGAUUCAAGAAUUCUUGAAUCAUUUUUUCUAUCUCCCAUUUCAAAGCGCGACAAUCUUCAAUGUUAUGCCCUUGGACAUUAGAGUGGUACAUGUACCGUACAGUAAGAUCAAACCCUUUUGCAUAUGGGUUCGGAGUAUCGAUGAGCAGCUCAAUCAGACCAGACUGUAUUAACUUUUCAAACAAGCUUGUGUAGGAUUCUCCAAUUUGAGUGAAAGACUUUUCUCUUUGUUGCUGCCUUCUCAUUUUGUACUCCGGCCUUAGUUGGAACCUUUUUCGGGUAGGGGGUUGAUAUGCUUGUAGAGGUGGGUAACACAUUUGUGGAGGCGGUGGAAGACGUUGCCGGUUUUCUGUGUGUGUAGCAUAUGGCAGUGCAUUGUGGAUAGAGUACUGGGGAGGUGAGGUAUGACUUCAGGGAAUCUGUGGAGGAAAGUUGUAACGACCCGACCAGUCGUGUUGAGAAAUUAAGCUCCGUUCAGCAGCAUAAGGUUUGUAAUAGCUUAUUAAAAUGAGUAUCGAUUUGCGUGCAUGGUGAAAUUUGGCUUUCGGAUGGUUUAGAGUCAAAUUGGAAGAAGCAACCUUGUUUUGGAAGUCUGAACAGUGACAAGUUGACCGAAAUUGGACAUUUGAGCAAAAGAUCCCAAAAUGAGUUGUGGACGACCCCAAGAACUUCAUAUGGUAAUUUUGGACUUAGGCGCACGUCCGGAUUUAGAUUUGGAUGAUCGUAGAGUGAAUUGAGGCAUCUCGACGAAAGUUGAAGUUGGAAAAUGAAGAAGUUUGACGCACAGUUGAUUUUUGUGAUAUCGGGGUCGGAAUGCAUUUUCGAGAGUUGGAGAAGCUCCGUUAUAUUAUUUUGGACUUCUUCACAAAAUUUGGCGUCAUUCCAGACUGAGUUGAUAGGUUUCGGCAUGAUAUUUGAUAUUUGAAGAUUGAGAAGUGCAUAAGCUUGAUUUUGUGUUUGAUUCGUCGUUUUGAUGUUGUGUUAUGUGUUUUGAAACUUUGAGCGAGUCCGUGUUAGGUUAUAUGACUUGUGUGUGUGAUUAGACGGGGUCAUGAGAGCCUCGGGUGUGUUUCAGAUGGGCUACGGAUCAUUUUUCCUCCAUUUUGGACUGCUGUAACUGCUGCUUCUGAUAUCCUUCUAUGUGAUCACGAUGAUUCUCCCGUGGUUGCGAUGCCUUGCAGAAGACCACCUCAAAAUCAUCACGUUCGCAUCUGUCUACUCGCAUUCGUGAAGCUCUGUUUAGUUCUUCAUCGCGUUCGCAUUAAGCCUUCCUCGAUCGCGAAGGUCUAUUCUUCUUUACUUGUUCUGACCAUCUAUCAGAGAAAAAAGAACCUAUUGGCCUGUGCAACACCAUCUAUAAAUCAAUCAUGAAAAUUAUUGUAAACAGGAUAAAACCUAUCCUACCCCACAUCAUUGGGCCAAGCCAAGAAAGUUUUCUCACUAACAAAAGGGUCAAUGACAAUGCAAUCAUUGUCCAAGAAUAUGUCAAUCACUUCAGGAAAAUGAAGGGUAAGAGUGGUAACAUGAUCCUAAAAUUAAACCUUGGCCUGUGCAACACCAUCUAUAAAUCAAUCAUGAAAAUUAUUGUGAACAGGAUAAAACCUAUCCUACCCCACAUCAUUGGGCCAAGCCAAGAAAGUUUUCUCACUAACAAAAGGGUCAAUGACAAUGCAAUCAUUGUCCAAGAAUAUGUCAAUCACUUCAGGAAAAUGAAGGGUUUCACGAUUGAAUCUAUUUUCCCGCGUUCGCAUAGUGGAAUUUAGGACUUGGGGGCCCUCUUCGCGUUCGCUUAAGCUCCUACGUGAUUGCAUAAGCCACCAUCUCAUUACCCUUCACGUUCUCAUCCCUCUUCACGCGAACACGAUGUACAUUUCUAGGCUUUCUCGAAUUUCCUCUACGCGAUCGCGACCAUUGUUCCGUCGCGAUGAACAAAUCACUGGGCAGAUAGAUUAAAUCCCAAGUCUGAGGGUUCCACCAUUUUUAUCAUAUUUUGACUUCUAAAGCUCGGUUCUUGGAAAUUUUUGAAGGGAUUUUCACCUGGGCGUCUUGGGUAAGUUCUUCUCACUCGACUUAGACCAAUUUCCAUGAAUCUCCUCUUAGUUUCAUCCUUUAAUUUCAUAUUUUGAAUGGAAAAUGGGUAAAACUUUAUAUACCAAAUUAUUGACUUUUGAGGGGGUAUUUGACCUUUGAUUUGAGAGAUUUUUAUAUGGUUAGAAUUGUGAGAGUACGAGGGUUUUGAAAAUGUUAUAUCCAUCCGAUUCCGAGAUGUUGGACCGAGGGGCAUUUUGGUCAUUUUAUCUAAUUUCAUGCUUUAGUUUUGAAUUAAAUAGUAGAAUUAGUUGCUUGAGAUGUUAUUUACAAGGUGUGAUUGAAUUGAAUAGAUUUGAGCCAUUUGGAGUCGAGUACUCAUGGCAAGAACGUGGUUGCUAGUUGAUUUUAGCCGGCUCGAGGUAAGUAUCUUGCCUAACCUUGUGUGGGGGACUUCCCCUUAGGAUUUGAAUCUUCUCUAUUGAUUGUAUUCCUUGUAAGCGAGGUGACAAAUGAGUGCUCGGAUUUAUUUGUGGUCAUUGCCCUUUUUAGGCUCUUAGAUCCUUGUAAUCACCGAGUAUAAAGUUGUCCUUGAUACGAUUGAGUUCCCUGUUAUUAGUUUCACCUCUAUAUGUCUUAUUUGGAAUUUAUUUGCCCUUCUUGUUUUAUUCUUGUUGCCUAAUUGAAUUUUACUUGUUUAACUGAAGAUAUUUACCCUUCCAUAGUCACAUUAUCUUUCAUAAUUGCUUGCCUUUAUUUGAAAAUUGUUAUUAUUAUCUCUCGUGUAAUU